ensembl:snRNA U6 U6 spliceosomal RNA
GUGCUCACUUCAACAGCACAUAUACUAAAAUUAGAAUGAUACAGAGAAGAUUAGCAUGGCCCGUGUCCAGGGAUGACACAGAAAUCCAUGAAGCAUUCCAUAUUUUU